GAUGAACGCUAGCUACAGGCUUAACACAUGCAAGUCGAGGGGCAGCAUUUUAGUUUGCUUGCAAACUGAAGAUGGCGACCGGCGCACGGGUGAGUAACACGUAUCCAACCUGCCGAUAACUCGGGGAUAGCCUUUCGAAAGAAAGAUUAAUAUCCGAUGGUAUAUUAAAACCGCAUGGUUUUACUAUUAAAGAAUUUCGGUUAUCGAUGGGGAUGCGUUCCAUUAGUUUGUUGGCGGGGUAACGGCCCACCAAGACUACGAUGGAUAGGGGUUCUGAGAGGAAGGUCCCCCACAUUGGAACUGAGACACGGUCCAAACUCCUACGGGAGGCAGCAGUGAGGAAUAUUGGUCAAUGGACGAGAGUCUGAACCAGCCAAGUAGCGUGAAGGAUGACUGCCCUAUGGGUUGUAAACUUCUUUUAUAUGGGAAUAAAGUAUUCCACGUGUGGGAUUUUGUAUGUACCAUAUGAAUAAGGAUCGGCUAACUCCGUGCCAGCAGCCGCGGUAAUACGGAGGAUCCGAGCGUUAUCCGGAUUUAUUGGGUUUAAAGGGAGCGUAGGUGGAUUGUUAAGUCAGUUGUGAAAGUUUGCGGCUCAACCGUAAAAUUGCAGUUGAAACUGGCAGUCUUGAGUACAGUAGAGGUGGGCGGAAUUCGUGGUGUAGCGGUGAAAUGCUUAGAUAUCACGAAGAACUCCGAUUGCGAAGGCAGCUCACUAGACUGCAACUGACACUGAUGCUCGAAAGUGUGGGUAUCAAACAGG
rnacentral:rRNA from 1 species